UGGGUUGUAGCUCAGUGGUAAAGUGUUUGCCUAGCACACAUGAGGCACUGGGUUCGAUCCCCAGCACCACGU
rnacentral:tRNA from 1 species